GACGGACGCUGGUGGCGUGCUUAACACAUGCAAGUCGAACGGGAUUUAGUAAACAGAAGCCUCGGUGGAAGAUUACUAAUGAGAGUGGCGAACGGGUGAGUAACGCGUGAGCAACCUGCCUAUGACAGUGGGAUAGCCUCGGGAAACCGGGAUUAAUACCGCAUAAAAUCGUAGAAACACAUGUUUUAACGGUCAAAGAUUUAUCGGUCAUAGAUGGGCUCGCGUCUGAUUAGCUAGUUGGUGAGAUAACAGCCCACCAAGGCGACGAUCAGUAGCCGGUCUGAGAGGAUGAACGGCCACAUUGGAACUGAGACACGGUCCAAACUCCUACGGGAGGCAGCAGUGGGGAAUAUUGCACAAUGGGGGAAACCCUGAUGCAGCGACGCCGCGUGAACGAAGAAGGUAUUCGUAUCGUAAAGUUCUGUCCUAUGGGAAGAUAAUGACAGUACCAUAGAAGAAAGCGCCGGCUAAAUACGUG
rnacentral:rRNA from 1 species